GGAUGAUUUCUUCAAACAAAAAUAUAAGUCAAAGGUGCUAAGCACAAAAAUCUUAUGUCAAAAAAUCUGAAAGGUAAGAAUGUGUGUCAUAUUUCUAAUUUCUUCAAUUCUACUGAUAGAGCUUUGUUGUGCUCUAGACAUAGCUAGCUGAUACUACAUCACAACCACCACCCAUUUAAUUAUUCAUUGCUUUAGCUUUCGGUUCACAACCCAAAGGUCCUGCAAGUGCAUUUUGAAAAGCAUCUUUUCACCCUCUGAGAAUAUAACCUUCCUCAAACAUAUUCAAGUAUUGAGUAAGCAGCAAAGGA
rnacentral:lncRNA from 1 species